AACUCCACGUGGGAGACCUGGCAGAAGAGGGAGGCCGAAAACCCGCUGGAGGGGAGGAGUGAAAGUGACAAUUCUCGCUAGAUUUGUCUAGGAGGCUCUCUCCCAUAGUUCCGCCUUCUUGCACACGGUGGAUGGCGGAGUCGUGACUCCAUGUUGAAGAGGGAAUUUGCUUCGCUAUUGCUUGAGAAUUCGAACGUCACCUCAACCCCCAAAGUGCAAUCCGAUUCGGAGAACUCCUGCCAGUGCCUGCUCAUCCAUUCUAACCAUUCUGAAAAGAAAGGACAAACUCUAUCAAGGCAUCAGAGCAUCGCCUGAUGAUCCAGAGAGUCACAGUUUCUCUCUCAAGUGAAUCCCAAAGAUUCCAACACUCCCAGGAUCAUAAGAUUUCAGUCACAUGCUCCUGUCCAUUAAACCCUUGCAACUCAUAACUACAAAGGUAAUGAAGAUUGUAGGUGGCAGUCAAAGGUAAUUUUUGUCUCUAAAUACAGUACUCUUUCCUCUGUAACACAUUAUUCUGUUAGAGUUAUUGUGAAUAUAAAAUGAGAUACCAAUGUGAAAGAGCUUUUAAAACUUAAAGUGAGAAAUAAAUUCUACUUAUAAAAUAACUGGGCUGCUAGGUGGUACAGUGACUAGAGCACCAGGUUUAGAUUCAGGAAGAUUCAUCUUCUUGAGUUCAAAUCUGGCCUCAGACAUUUCCUAACUGUGUGACCCUGGGCAAGUCACUGAAUCUUGUCUGCCUCAGUUUCCUUAUCUGUAAAAUGAGCUGGAGAAGGAAAUAGCAAAACCACUCCAUUGUCACUGCCAAGACACAAAAUGGGGUCACAAAGAGCCACACUUGAAUGAAACAACUGGAUAACAGCAGAUCAUCAUUGUCUUCUCCUGAGAAGAAUAAGCAAUUUGUGUCCUUAUCUGGCAGCACUCUUACUGCUCUAUGUUAGGACACUGACUCUAAAAUGUCUUUUGGAGGAUGGUCCAGGGGGUACUAAACAAAACCUCUGCCUUCAGGAUGUCACAUUCCCUCUAAAUUAUGGGUUGGAGAAUGGACCAACUCAAAGAGCAUUUUUAAUAGGAAGGAGACAGAGGCGUCCCUGUCCAAGUCACCCUGGCCAAGUUACAAUUCUUGUCAUCCCACAGAUCCUCAUCUCCAUGCCAAAUGCUCUCCAUUUCUGUGCUGUGAACUUUAAAAUUACUCCACCCUACUUAGAUAAAGUUGUAAUCUCCUGAUUGAACAAUGAAAGUACUUAGUUCUCACCUUAUAGUGAAGCUAGAACUUUAAGCUAAGUCUAUUUUUAGAUCUUAAUACAAAAAGGUGUUAAGUAACUAUAAAGGUUAAAUUAAUCACAAAAAGGUCAAGUAACUAACAAAAGGUGAACUUAACAAAGAAGUGUUAGGUAACUCUAAAGAUAUAAUCUAAUCAAAGAAGAUGAGAACUAAAAGUAUGGGCAGUCCUGGAGAAAGUCUUUGAUGUGAGUGGUAGAUUGAAAAUUUAGAGGAGGAAACACAAAGUGAAAGGUCUAUAUAUUUGGUAUUUUUCAUCUCUCCAGGGCUCUUUCCCUCAUUGGCCGUGGAGAGUUAGCUGAGAGCAGUGUGCUGAGCUUUUGGCAUCUUAGCUACAAGCUAUUGUCCAUUUUGGUGGUGAGUUUCUGGCUGAGUUUCCUCCUUUACCUUCCAACUUUAUCCUUUUAGAAGCCUCUAAUCUUCUUCAGAGACAUAGAGGUGGGGAUUUUAAACUCCCCCUGGCAUAGACCAGGCAGGAGAAAUUCGAUAUCCUCUUUCCUCCUUCUCCUUAAAUUUCUUCUCUCUAUAUUAAUUAAAUUACUAUUAAAUUUCCAGACUGACUUGGGUAUUUUAUAUGGUGACCAAUUAAAUCUAGAUUUUUAAAGUCACAACCCUAAAAUCAUCUUUACAGUGCCAUGCCCUAAAUAUUCACAAAGCUUGUGUACACAUAGGCAUGACUGGAGUGAGAUACAGAGAAUAGUGAGAAGCCAUCCUGCGUGUAAGGCUAUUAGAAUAUCCAAUCACUUUUCUUUUCUCAGGGACAUAUAGUUUUCCAACUUUUAACAGAAAAUUACACUGCAGAAUCUGCUCGUGGCAAGGGAUUAUGUGAAAUUUGCAGAGCUAUCAACAGCUAAAUCUCAUUCUUAGGUUGAUCUAUUCCCUUGUUCUCUCAGUGUCUGUUACCUCUGAAUUGCCAAAAGCUCUGUCCAAAAAAGGAAUUCCUCUCUGGAAGAUGCAGCUGCACCAUAUGGAGGGCAAGUGAGCAACUGGUUCUGCUUUGGUCAAGCAAGCAGAUUUGACUCAUAAUGAUCAGUAGAACACUAUUUGUACAUCAUAAUAGGCUUGUGCCUCUCAGAAAGUUUAGCUAUUAAGAAUUUAGUGUAACUCAUAGAAGUAGUUCAAAAGUCAAAUAGAGACUUUUAGUAAAUAAUUAUAAAGGGAAAGAAAUAAAGGAAAGAAAGGGGAAGGGAAGGGAAGUAAUUAGAGUGGGGAGGAAGGAAGACAGAAAGGGAAGAAGGAAAGGAAGGAGGGAAGAAGGAAUGAAGAAAGGGAAUAAGUGAGAGAGGAAAAAAGAUGAAAAAGUAUAAAGAAACUAGAAAAGUUUAUUGACUAAUCCUUCCAAAAUAUCCUAAAAUGUCAAUUCUCCACAAUUUCCUUCUCCUUAUAUGAUUUUAUUUUCAUUUUGAAAUUUUAUUUUUUAAGGAACAAAAUCCAUUUUCUUUACCAUUCAACCCCGUGUCUCAUUAAAACAGAAAGAAAAAACAAGAAAAACAAAUUCUUGUAUUGACCAUGUCCCGAAAAUAUGUAUAUUAAUCUCUAACUUGAGUCUAUCCCCUCUGCCAGAAAGUGGAUAGCAUGUUUCAAUGUCAGAACUCUAAAAUCAUAGUUGAGCACAUUCUAUGAUUAUUGGGUUACAAAUUUUGAGAUGGAGAGGACUUCAGAGGACACCUAAUCCUACCUUCACAUUUUAUAAAUGAGGAAACUGAGAAAUAGAUAUAGUACUGUUUGGCAAUCAGGUUGAUCUAAAUUCAAUCCUUCCAUAGACAUACAACCACUAUAAAUCUCUGGGGCAGAUGAUUUAAUUUCUCUCAGCCUCAGUUUCCACAUCUGUGUCAAACAGUCAUAACAACAAUAACACCUAUAUCAUAGCAUUUUGUGAUGUCCAAAUGAGAAAGUAUAAGUAAAAUUGGGGUCACAAAGAGUUGAACAUGACUGAAAAUGACUGAACAACCACUGCAUGAAUUCUGUUGAACUCGGUUUCCUUCCAUUUGGGUUGACUUUGCUGAUCUGUUGCCUAAGCCUAAGGGAAGUCAACUGCUGCUUACUUAUGGGCUGACUUUCAUACUAUGCUAUCAGGAGGUUCUAUCAAUGAGUAGAGCCUUAGUCCUCUGAACAAAUUGUCUUGAGGGUGGUUUUAAUCUUUUUGUAAUUAAAAAACAAAAUAAAACAAAAACUCUGCAUGGCAGCUUAUUAUUUCUAUUGUAAAAGUCAAGUGAUGCUAGACUGAAGGACCUCACCUGUCUGCCAAAGAAGUUUAAAUUUCAUUUAGUGAGCAAUAAUGAGAAACCUUGGUUAGACUAUUGGGAUGAACAAUGUGAUUAAAAUGCUAAAGAAAGACUCAAUGUCCCCCUUUCUUCCUCCCUAAUGCUCAUAAUGUCCAUUCUCUUUUUUACUUUUUAACGACAUUUUCCUGCAUUUCUGGGAGAAACCAACAGUAUCUUGGGAAUGGCCAGUUCAAGCUUGAUAAGCAUAUUGGGUUUUAUUAGAACUGCAGAGAAUACAGCCCUAUUUCAAAUUUUCAGUGGUUCUUUCAUGGUAGUCUGCUAGGCAACCCAUAUUCAGAAAACACGGGAUGAAAUAGUUCUCCCUGGCAGCUUAUUGAUCCUCCGUAUGCAAUGCUAAAUAUAGAUGGGGCCAAAGUACAGAAGCAAGCUCUGGGUAGCCCCUUACUUGCUAGCUGUCAUUGAUUGGAAUGAUGAGUUCUUUCUGCAUGUUAUUUUGUUCCCACCAAAUCCUUAUCCUUUGUGUAGGGAAAACUGCCAGUGAACACAAGAACAUAUUGAUUCAAAUCACAUAGCUAUGAAAGUGCCUGGGGAUCAGGUGUUAAAAGGAAGCACAUUCCCUUUCCUUUCUUGCCUCCAUAGGCAUUAGGUACAUGACCUAUAUAUGAUUUGGUUUAUCAUAUUGCAUAGAAGCUAUUUUUCUUGGAGACAUGACUUACAUACCUGUUUCAGCCUGUCAGACCAAAUGCAUAAAAGCUUAGGCUCGAGCACUAUUACUAACCAUAUCUGAAAUAGGUUUGAAUCCCUACUUAUCUCAGAGAGAGUCAGACAAUCGCAUGCUAUUAAAAAUAGAUUUAGAAAAAGCUCGUUGUUUUUUACUCAUAUGUUGCUGCAGCCUUUCUUUGUGUCAGAAGGGAGUAAUCAUUUGUGUAAUGCUUUCUGUGCUAAAUGCUUUACAAAUAUUAUUUUGUUUGAUAUGAGACUGAACUUAAUGGAGGCUAAACCAAUUGGUCUCACAGGUUACCUCUUGCCCUUUUCAUUGCUCUAUAUCUUCUCCUUUCUAGAAAACUCUUGUUCAGAAUUCAUUAAAAAUCAGCUUAUCUCUACCUGGAGACAAAACCCAUUAAUUAUCAAAUGAACAAGAUUUUUAAAAGAACCAGAAAUUUCUGAGGAUAAGCUAUAUUGCUGCUCCAGGCAAUGGCGGAGGAAAGGAGGGAUAGAAGUAGAGAAUGGAUUCAUCUACCAGGUUCUGCAAUAUUGGGAAGUUCUCUUGACCUCUAUCACUCCUUAAGUGAACCAGUGAGGCAGAGGAUCUUCUACCUAUUCAUGAUUAGAUACACAAUCUUGGGAAAUAGAGUGUUUUCUUCCACGGGAGCUUUUCCAGGUAUCAAGGAUCACAUAGAACAAAUUCCUUCCUGUUUGUGGAAGGGUUUAAUAAAAUGACUACUAAGAAUAUGUGUGAGUGUUUAAGAUUAAUUUCUACACUCUUAGAGAGGGACCAGAGGAAUAGUCUUGUAACUGGGACCCUUGAAUCCCUACUUUGCAGAUGACUUGCUACAUGGUCUUGGGCAGGUCAUUAAACAUCUAUGAGACUCAGUUUCCUUAUUUGUAAAGGAUGGCAAUGAAAAUUUCCCUGACCAGUUGAAGAAUUGUCAUGAUGAAAGUGCUUUGUAAUUGCUAACAUCCUGCACAAAUAAAUAGCCCCAAAAGAUCUGUGAUCUCACUGAGAAAAGAUGGAAAAGGGCAUUUGUGAAACACCAACUACAUGCCAAGAAAUAUGCUAAGUGUUCUUCAUAGCAACUCGGGGAGGUAGGUAUUAUUAUUAUCCUCAUUGUAUACCUGAGCAAAAUGAGGCAAAUAGAGAUGUAAUGAGUUGCUACAGGUCACACAACUGGUAAGUUUCUAAGGAUGAAUUUGAACUCAGUUUUCCCAAUCCCCAGCCCAGAAAUGUGUAUUGACAUGGCUUCUAAUGAAGCAAAUCCCUCCAUGCCUUCCUUUCCUAUAUAAUACUCCUCCAUGGACUCUAUAACUUUUAAGUAGAGAGGCUAUCCGACAUGUUGAGAGUCUUUCCCCCCUUUUUUGUUGGCAUCACAAAGAUACCAAUAGAAGACAUGGGUUGCCUAAUGGUUAUUCAUCAUUCUUCCCACAUAGCCAGAAGAAGAGAUGAUCUCUCCAAUCACGUGUAACCUCUAAAACAUGGUUUUCCAAGAUUGUGAAUUGCCAAACUGUAAAGAUAAAGGGUCUUGAUUUUAAAUCUAAAAUUAAGUGGUCACCAUGGGAAAAUUCCCAAAUAUGAAAAUACCCAAAUCAGCUAGGUUUUAUGGAGAUUUUAAUUAAUAUAAAUGAAGGAACUAAGGGGAAAGAGAGAGAGAGAGAGAGAGAGAGAGAGAGAGAGAGAGAGAGAGAGAGAGAGAGAGAGAGUAGCCAAGCAGUAGGAAAGGGCCUAGGCCAAAAUGGCCUAGGCCUGAGCCUAAGGUUGAGCGAGUCAGUCUUCAUCACUCACCACAAGAUCGUCUCAAGCAAGCUCCAAUCCUCCACUGAACUCCUGAACACCUGGACUGAGUUCAGAGUCCCAACUGAAUUCAAUUGACCUCCUUUUAAAGAGAUUUUUCUCUUAUGUCACCUCCCCUAAAUUUUCACAUCUACCAAUCAUAGUAGACACUUUUCCCAGGACUGCUCAUUCUUAGUUCUCAUCUUCUUUGGUUCUCAUCUUCUCUGGUUAGAUUAAAACUUCACACCUCUCUUGCUAAGCUUGCCUUUUGUAAGUUGCUUGACCUUUUAGUGAUUAAUUUAACCUUUAUAGGUACUAAGCCCCUUUUUGUAUUAGAUCUAAAAAUAGACCAAGCAUAAGGUUUUAGCUUCACUAUAAGUAUGAGUUAGGGACUUUCAUUGUUCCAUCAGGAGUUCACAACUUUAUCUUCCCCUAAGGCACUGUCUGAGUAGGGUGGAGUAAUUUUAAAAGUUCACAAUAUAUUCCUGAUCAAGUACCUCCAUCGUUACAAUAGGGGAAUUUGCUCAACCAAAUCUUCUAAGGUACGGUCUGAGCAGUUUUAAGAUUCACACAUGUGCCCAAUAGACCUGUGAAAUACCUUGUAGUAAUCAGAAGCAACUCUGUGCCCAUUAGAACAAUGGUGAGCCAUUUUUCAUGUAUAGCAAAAGCCUUAGAGCACAAACAUAAGACCUUGGGCAGAAGAUCUGACCCUUUUAAUUUCAGGGUGAAAUUCACUGUAGGAGGCAAAGCCUAAGACCCUCAGCAAAGCUGAGGACCAUAGAACAGCUGAUGCUGGUCGCAUAACUCACCCCUCACCCUCAGCCAUCCUCCUCACCCUACAAAAUCACUGAUAUAUGCAUUUCCUUGGGAAUCUAAAUUAGACUAUUACAUGUCGAUUUAUAAUCUUAUAGAAUCCAUUGUAUAUCCUAGAGGAGGUAAACAAGAAUACAUGGUAUCACUUUACCAAUCAUUUACUUUCAUUGUGUAUGUGAAAGCUUGUGCAAAGACCCCAGCUUGUUUUGCCCUCUCUACAAAAUAGUAGCUAUUCCCAAUAAACCUCUCCCCUGCAGCUAUCAGCCUCAGUGAUCCUCCAGAUCCCAUUUGUCUUUCAUCAUCCUUCUCACAGCCUUCCAAGACCCCUGACUCAUUUGUUGAGCAGGUUGCAACACUUUGACAUUCCCUUAGCUUGUCUGAAUCUCAGUUUCCUCAUCUGCAAAAUGAAGGGUUUGGAGUAGAUGAUAUAUUCAGUCUCUUUUCACCCUGUAUCUAUAUGAACAUAUUUAUUAUAGUGUCAUUCUCAGUCACCGAGAGACUACCACUAUACUAUACUAUAUUAUAUAUUAUACACUGACUUAAAUAUCAUCUCUGUGUAUUUUAUGUAUAUAGAUAUAACUAUGCUCUAUCGAUCAUUCAUUUUUUUAUGUCAUGGGUGCUAUGGAGUCAUACGAAAAACAAAACAAAAUAGAACAAUUCUGAGCAGUAGGCUAUGAGAGCAUCAAGAAGCAAUAGCAAGAAGAGACUAAAUGUCAGAUGAGACUGUGUCCCUAGAAAAACUACAGAACAUGCAAAAUUAGUGAGAGAAAAAUCAUGAGAUAUCAAUAGAUGUGUAGUGUCAGAUACAUGAUUUUCCCUUCCAUGCCUGUGUCCUGGCCAUGCAUGUAUCUCUCCAAAUUUGUUCCCUACAUAUGCCCACUGUUCCUACUGAUUGUGUGUGUAUUUGGGGGGGGGGGUAAGUAAGAUCAGAAUUAUUAGGGAAAUCAUCCAUUGUUUCUUUUCUUUCAAUGCUAUUUCUAUUUCUUUAAAUGCUUUUAAUUUGGACUAAAAUGGCUACUUAGUAAACUUUAACACAUUGAUGGGGGCUCAUCAAUUAUAGUUUGGAAUAGAAAAGCUGUGGAGUAUCCUCAAUCUUGGGCAGCUUUUUUCAAAGUCACCUAAAGGUGACUUGGAACACAUUUGUGGGGGUUGCCCUUCAAAGUACCAUUUGGGUGCUAUUUCCUUUUUUCCAUUUGAAUUAAUUUAUUUAGUUAAUUUAGAACAUUAUUCCUUGGUUACAAUAAUCACAUUAUUUCCCUCCCUCUCCUCCACCCACCCUUCCUGCAACCCAACCGAUGCACAAUUUCAUUGGGUAUUUCUUGCGUCCUUGAUCAGAACCUAUUUCCAUGUUGUUGAUGUUUGCACUAGGAUCUUCAUUCAGAGUCUAUAUCCCCAACCAUAUCCCUUCGACCCAUGUAUUCAAGCAGUUGUUUUUCUUCUUUUUUUUACUCCCACGGUGUUUCCUCUGAAUGUGGAUAGUGGUUUUUCUCAUAGAUUCCUCCAAGUUGUUCAGGGUCACUGCAUUCAUUGCCACUAAUGGAGAAGUCCAUUACAUUCGAUUGUACCACAGUUUAUCAGUCUCUAUGUGCAAUGUUUUCCUGAUUCUGCUCCUCUCACUCUGCAUCACUUCCUGGAGGUCGUUCCAGUCUCCAUGGAAUUCCUUCACUUUAUUAUUCCUUUGAACACAAUAGUAUUCCAUCACCAACAGAUACCACAAUUUGUUCAGCCAUUCCCAAAUUGAAGGACAUCCCCUCAUUUUCCAAUUUUUUGCCACCACAAAGAGCACAGCUAUGAAUAUUUUUGUACAAGGUCUUUUUCCUUAUUGUCUCUGGGGUACAAACCCAGCAGUGUUAUGGAUGGAUCAAAGGGCAAACAGCCUUUUAGUGCCCUUUGGGCAAAGUUCCAAAUUACCUUCCAGAAUGGUUGGAUCAAUUCACAACUCCACCAGCAAUGAAUUAAUGUCCCCACUUUGCCACAUCCCCUCCAGCAUUCAUUACUUUGCAUAGCUGUCAUGUUAGCCAAUCUGCUAGGUGUGAGGUGAUACCUCAGAGUUGUUUUGAUUUGCAUUUCUCUGAUUAUAAGAGAUUGAGAACACUUUUUCAUGUGCUUAUUAAUAGUUUUGAUUUCUUUAACUUAAAAUUGCCUAUUCAUGUCCCUUACCCAUUUAUCAAUUGGAGAAUGGCUUGAUUUUUUGUACAAUUUGUUUAGCUCUUUAUAAAUUUGAGUAAUUAGACCUUUGUCAGAGAUUUUUGUAAUUAAGAUUGUUUCCCAAUUUGUUGCUUCUCUUCUAAUUUUGGAUGCAUUAGUUUUGUUUGUACAAACCCAUUUUAAUUUGAUGUAAUAAAAAUCAUUGAUUUUAUAUUAUGUGAUUUUUUUCUAGCUCUUGCUUGGUUUUAAAGUCUUUCCUUUCCCAAAGAUCUGACAAGUAUACUAUUCUGUGUUCGCCUAAUUUGCUUAUAGUUUCCUUCUUUAUAUUCAGAUCAUUCACCCAUUCUGAGCUUAUUUUGGUGUAGGGUGUGAGAUACUGAUCCAAAUCUAAUCUCUCCCAUACUGGCUUCUAAUUUUCCCAGCAGUUUUUAUCAAAUAGUGGGUUUUGGUCCCCAAAACUGGGAUCUUUGGGCUUAUCAUAGACUAGUCGUCUUGCCGAGGUCAUUUACCCCAAGUCUAUUGCACUGAUUCUCCUUUCUGUCUCUUAGCCAGUACCAAAUUGUUUUGAUGACCACUGCUUUAUAAUAUAGUUUGAGAUCUGGGACUGCAAGUCCUCCGUCCUUUGCUUUUUUUUUUCAUGAUUUCCCUGGAUAUCCUUGAUCUUUUGUUCUUCCAAAUGAACUUUGUUAUGUUUUUUUUUCUAAUUCAGUAAUAAAGUUUUUUUGGUAGUUCAAUGGGUAUGGCACUAAAUAAGUAAAUUAAUUUGGGUUGGAUUGUCAUUUUUAUUAUGUUAGCUCAUCCUACCCAUGAGCAAUCAAUGUUUUUCCAAUUGUUUAGAUCUAGUUUUAAUUGUGUGGAGAGUGUUUUGUAGUUGUAUUCAUAUAGUUCCUGUGUUUGUCUCAGCAGAUAGAUUCCUAAGUAUUUUAUAUUGUCUAGGGUGAUUUUAAAUGGAAUUUCUCUUUCUAAUUCUUGCUGCUGAAAUGGUUUAGAGAUAUAUAGAAAUGCUGAUGACUUAUGCAGGUUUAUUUUGUAUCCUGAAACUUUGCUAAAGAUGUUGAUUAUUUCGACAAGCUUUUUGGUUGAUUCUCUAGGAUUCUUUAAGUAGAGCAUCAUAUCAUUGGCAAAGAGUGAUAGCUUGGUCUCCUCAUUGCCAAUUUUAAUACCUUCAAUUUUUUUUUCUUCUCUAAUUGCUACUGCUAGUGUUUCUACUACAAUGUUAAAUAAUAGAAGUGAUAAUGGGUAUCCUUGUUUCACUCCUGAUCUUAUUGGGAAGGCUUCUAGUUUAUUCCCAUUGCAGAUGAUGUUUGCUGAUGGUUUUAGAUAUUUACUGUUUAUUAUUUUUAGGAAAGGCCCUUCUAUUCCUAUACUUUCUAGUAUUUUCAACAGGAAUUGUUGUAUUAUCAAAGGGCUUUUCUGCAUCUAUUGAGAUAAUCAUGUGAUUUUUGUCAGUUUGCUUGUUAAUAUGGUCAAUUAUGUGGAUGGUUUUCCUAAUAUUGAACCAUCCUUGCAUUCCUGGUAUGAAUCCUACAUGGUCAUAGUGAAUAAUCCUUGUGAUGACUUGCUGGAGUGUUUUUGUUAGUAUCCUAUUUAAGAUUUUUGUAUCUAUAUUCAUUAAGGAGAUUGUUCUAUAGUUUUCUUUCUCUGUUAUUGACCUUCCUGGCUUUGGAAUAAGUACCAUAUUUGUGUCAUAGAAUGAAUUUGGUAGAACUCCUUUAUUUAUUCUGCCAAAUAGUUUGUAUAAUAUUGGGAUUAAUUGUUCUUUGCAUGUUUGCUAGAAUUCAUUUGUGAAUCGAUCUGGACCUGGGGAUUUUUUCUUAGGGAGUUAUUUGAUGGUGUGUUCAAUUUCUUUUUCUGAUAUGGGGUUGUUUAGGUAAUCUAUUUCUUCCUCUGUUAGUUUAGGCAAUUUAUAUUUUUGUAAGUAUUCAUCCAUAUCACCUAGAUUGUCAUAUUUGUUGUCAUAUAAUUGGGCAAAAUAGUUUUUAAUGUUUGCCUUCAUUUCCUCUUCAUUAGAGAUGAGGUCUCCCUUUUCAUCUUGGAUACUGUCAAUUUGGUUUUCUUCUUUCCUUUUUUUAAUUAGACUGACUAGUACUUUGUCUAUUUUAUUUGUUUUUUCAAAGUACCAGCUUCUAGCCUUAUUUAUUAAAUCAAUAGUUCUUUGACUUUCAAUUUCCUUAAUUUCUCCUUUGAUUUUUAGGAUCUCUAAUUUAGUCUUCAUCUGAGUAUUUUUAAUUUGUUCACUUUCUAGUUUUUUAAUUUGCAUGCCCAAUUCAUUGACCUCUGCCCUCCCUAAUUUGUUAAUAUAUGAACUCAAGGAUAUAAAUUUCCCCCUGAGUACUGCUUUGGCUGCAUCCCAUAGGUUUUGAAAGGAUGUCUCAUCAUUGUCAUUUUCUUCAAUGAAAUUAUUAAUUGUUUCUUAAUGUGUUCUUUAACCGGUUUUGGAGAAUCAUAUUGUUUAAUUUCCAAUUAAUUUUUGAUUUACCUCUCCAUGUACCCUUACUAAUUAUUAUUUUCAUUGCGUUGUGACCUGAGAAGGUUGCAUUUAUUAUUUCUGCUCUUUUGCACUUGUUUGCAAUAUUUUUAUGCCUUAAUACAUGGUCAAUUUUUUUGAAUGUACCAUGUGCUGCUGAAAAAAAGGUGUAUUCCUUUUUAUCCCUAUUUAUUUUCCUCCACAUAUCUACUAACUCAAAUUUUUCUAAGAUUUCAUUCACUUCUCUUACCUCAUUCUUCUUUAUUUUUUGGUUUGAUUUAUCUAAUUCGAAUAGAAAAAGGUUCAGGUCUCCCACUAGUAUAGUUUUUCUAUCUAUUUCGUCCUUGAGCUCCUCUAGUUUCUCCUUUAGAAAUUUGGAUGCUAUGCCAUUUGAUGAAUACAUGUUGAGUACUGAUAUUUCCUCAUUGUCUAUACUGCCUUUUAUCAGGAUGUAAUUACCUUCCCUGUCUCUUUUAACUAGAUUUAGUUUUUCCUUUGGCUUUGUCAGAUAUCAUGAUUGCAACUCCUGCCUUCUUUUUGUCAGUUGAUGCCCAAUAGAUUUGGCUCCAUCCUCUUACUUUUACCCUAUGCAUAUCUACCUUCCUCAUGUGUAUUUCUUGUAGAUAGUAUAUGAUAGGGUUUUGGAUUCUAAUGCACUUUGCUAUUGCUUGUGUUUUAUGGGUGAGUUCAUUCCAUUCACAUUCAGAGUUAUGACGACCAGCUAUAUAUUUCCCAGAAUUUUGAUUUCUACUCCUAGUCCUGCCUUUUCUUCUUUCACUGUUUCCUUCUACCUUAAUGCUUGUUUUUAAUCAGUCACCCUAGUUCCCACCUUUAUUUUACUUCCCUUUCUUCCUCCCACCCUUCUUAUUCCCCCUCCCCUUAUUUUCUUUUCAGUCUUUUUAAAACUACUCCCCACCCUCUCCCUCCCUUAUACUGCUUCCCUCACCACCAGUCCAUUUGUUACGCUUCUAUUCCCCUAUAGGGUGCAAAUUUAUUCUCUGCCCCAAUGGAUUGGAUUGUUCUUCCCUCUUUGGGUCAAUUUCAAUUCACAUAACAGUUGAGUAUUUCCUAUCUCCAACCUCUUUACCCUUCCAGUGUAUUGAUGUUCUCCCCCCUCCCACCAUGAGCUUCUUUGUGACAUAUAAA